ensembl:lncRNA
CUUUCUCAAACAGGCCGUCCAAGGUCUACUUCUGAGUUGGAGAUUGGCUCACAAGCAGCCUCUCUCCGGUGAGCUGUAGGGAGGGGGCAGUUCUGGAGAGUCAUUGACAGAGGCUUAACCUGGAACAUCAAUUAUAAACAAGCAGCAGGCCCGGGGCCCAGGCUGGGGCGUUCUGGCACCUAGGACAGCGUGUCCUCGCCGGGGCUCUGCAGACCAGCUGCCACGAGGCUGAAGUUCCGAACUGUCCGCGGGGGCCUGAGGCUCCUGGGUAUCCGCCGAACCUC